rnacentral:siRNA from 1 species
CUUGAGUGCCAACAUCAUCGU